AAACCCUAAACCCUCAACCUCCCCACUUCCCAUUGUCCAUUAUCAGCUACCUCCAUCUUCAGUUCAGCUUUCCUUCUUCGUUCCGCUCAAACUCCCCUUCGCUCCUGCAUUUUCACCCCUGCAAUUCUCCACAGCUUAGAAAAUGCAUCGCUUCGUCUCCAGCCUUGCCUCCAAAGCCAGGUACGUUGAUUCAAAUCACCCGUUCUUUCAUCGAGUUUCAUGCUCUCCUUUUAACUUCGCAGUGCUUCUCUGAGCCAUUCUCAUCG
rnacentral:lncRNA from 1 species